UACGAAGGGUGCAAGCGUUGCUCGGAAUUAUUGGGCGUAAAGGGUGGGUAGGCGGUAAUAAAAGUCUGGGGUGAAAUCCCUGAGCUCAACUCAGGACGUGCCUUGGAAACUUUAUUACUAGAGUGCUGGAGAGGUCCGCAGAAUUCCCGGUGUAGCGGUGAAAUGCGUAGAGAUCGGGAGGAAUACCAGAGGCGAAGGCGGCAACCUGGACCAAUACUGACGCUGAGGAGCGAAAGCCAGGGGAGCAAACGGG
rnacentral:rRNA from 1 species